ACCGCGACAGCUCAGCUAGUAGAGCAUCUGCCCAGAAUGCGGACGGUCUCCGGUUCGAUUCCGGUUCUCGGCG
rnacentral:tRNA from 1 species